AAAGCCGGGCAGGUGCUUUAAGAAGGCGCCAGUUGACUCCCCAUAGGCAGAAGAUUCCUAUCCAGUUGGGGUCCCUUAGAGCGAGUUCCAUUCUUUCAGCCCUGAAUGUCUUUCCUUCUGCCUCCCCAGUUCAACAAUAGGAUUCUAUCUUCUGGUUAAGCAAGAUCUUAGUCAUUUCGCCUUUGUGUGAUAACUCUAUCUUUCUGGAAGCUACCUCCCCUCUCUCUUUAUGCACUUGCCUAGAAGGCUUAGGUGUCCGCAACAUUCUUUGCUUCCAAAAAAGAAGAAAAAAAAUACUUGUAAAUCGAUAAGUAUAACCAGGAUAAAGGAGAGGGGAACACCUACGACCAGUAACGACUUCCGAUACAUAACGAAUACUAUUAAGACGAACACAAAGACGAGGGCGGGAAAUCGGUAUAUUCAUCAUAUUCGGAAAGACUUAUGUUCAUUCGCUCUGCUCGCAGAGCGGUAUACCGAAAAA
rnacentral:lncRNA from 1 species